rnacentral:sRNA from 1 species
AAUGCAGAAGGAAAAAAAACAAAACAAAACAAAACGGAAAAAAACCCACCACCCCCUCACUGCCUCAGUCACCGCCACCACUGCUAGCGGGCCCAAAGAAACAGCUCGCUGCCUUUAAUUUGGGGACCUAUGUUAAUGAAGUUGGUAAUUAAUUCGUCGCUUUGUUGUCGGUUCUUAUACUGUAUGUGUAAUCAAAUGUGGCCGUCCUUGGGAUUUACAGCAAUUAGCGAAUUACGGGAGUGCGCACGAGGCUGCAAGUUCUCCGCAGCCCGGCUGGGCUCGGCUCCGGCUCGGCCUAAGGCUGGGCACUCCGCUGCCGCAGCUGACUUGCAGGUGUGUUCUAAGAGCGUGAGGUCCUGGAGGCUCCACGAACCCUGGAGCGCCUCCGGGCUUGCCCAGAUCUUCCUGGCUCCUCUGUAGCUGCUCCAGUCCGAAGAAAACCCCUGGCUGUCGCGUUCCCUGGAGCCACGACUUUGUGGGGCCUAGGCUUGGGGGGAGGAGGAAUUCUGCCCAGACUCUCCAGCAGUUGGUAGCAGGCAGGCUUUCUCCUGUGUCGCCUGGAAAAGUUGCAAAAUUGCUCUUCACCUGUAAGAACAUGCUUUUUUAUCUUCCAGUCUCUUCUUGUCAAUUUGGAAAUUGCAGACAGCCCGGCUCAGGCAUUAAGAGAAAUUGAUUAGUGACAAGGAAGAGAAGAAAACAUUGCUGGUCAGUAGGCCACGGUGAGUCAUGGGCAUCUUCUGUACCUCAGGUAAAUACCCAGGAAGUGUCUCGUUUUCUGAAGCCAUGUUAGGAUCUGCUGGGUUGCACAAGCCAAUAACAGCUGCUCUCUUUGAGUCAUUUGGUCCACGUCAGCAAAUGGAUGUAAUUUGAUCCCGGUCUACCACAACCAAAAAUCUAUAUGCUUUUCACGCGAUCUUUUAUUUAUUUUUUUCUAAUUAUAGGAAUUUCUUCCCUGAAUAUUCCCCGACUUUAUCUAAGAGGCUGGUAGUAAGUGCCUGAGUGCCAGAGUGGAUGUGUAAUUCCUUUAAUCAUUGUGAUCAAUGUGAACCAUGGCGUGAUUAAUGCAGCCAGGGUAGUAGGCCACAGUUAAAAACAUAAUCAAAAUAUUUGGAUAGCAGGAACUUACUGUAGAGCGGUGUUUCUCAACUGGGGUGGGGUGGGGGCGUGAUUUUUGCCUCCCAGGGGGACAUUUGGCAGUGUCUGGGGACAGUUUUGGUUGCCACGACUGUCAUCUAUUGGGUGAGGACCAGAGAUGCUGCUUUGGAACCUGGAAUGCAGAGGAGAGCCCUCUGCACCAGAGAACCACCUGGCCCAACUGACAGGAAGGUCGUGGGGGAAAAUGCUGAUGGCGGAAAAUAGAUGACAGAUAAAAUAUUACUAGCACUGUAGAAAUGAAAUUAUAACCAAUAUAUAAAUAGUAUCACUAAUUCAGAUUUUUUAAAAAAAAUCUCUCAUUUAUUUAUUUUCAAAUUUCUUCAUGUUUCAUGUUUGGGAUCAUAUAACCAACACAGAAAACAUUAAUAUUAUUGCUAUGUAUGUAACAGUUUUCUUUUAAAAAUAUUCUUUGUGAGUUUCUUUUCC